UGGGGAAUAUUGCACAAUGGGGGAAACCCUGAUGCAGCGACGCCGCGUGAGCGAAGAAGGUUUUCGAAUCGUAAAGCUCUGUCCUAUGAGAAGAUAAUGACGGUAUCAUAGGAGGAAGCCCCGGCUAAAUACGUGCCAGCAGCCGCGGUAAUACGUAUGGAGCAAGCGUUAUCCGGAUUCAUUGGGCGUAAAGCGCUCGUAGGCGGUCUGUUAGGUCGGCAAGUUAAAUCCGGGGGCUCAACCCCCGUCCGCUUCCGAUACCGGCAGACUUGGGUUUGGUAGGGGAAGGUGGAAUUCCUAGUGUAGCGGUGGAAUGCGCAGAUAUUAGGAAGAACACCGGUGGCGAAGGCGGCCUUCUGGGCCAAAACUGACGCUGAGGAGCGAAAGCUAGGGGAGCGAACAGG
rnacentral:rRNA from 1 species